rnacentral:rRNA from 1 species
UACGUAGGGUGCAAGCGUUAUCCGGAAUUAUUGGGCGUAAAGAGCUCGUAGGCGGUUUGUCGCGUCUGCUGUGAAAACCGGAGGCUCAACCUCCGGCCUGCAGUGGGUACGGGCAGACUAGAGUGCGGUAGGGGAGAUUGGAAUUCCUGGUGUAGCGGUGGAAUGCGCAGAUAUCAGGAGGAACACCGAUGGCGAAGGCAGAUCUCUGGGCCGUAACUGACGCUGAGGAGCGAAAGCGUGGGGAGCGAACAGG